rnacentral:lncRNA from 1 species
CCUGGCUAGCCACUCAAUAACUACACAGCAGCCCCACAAAAAAAUCAUAGAAAAGAACCUGUGAAAGGGUAAAUGUUUAAAACAUCUGCAUUUGUGUUGAUAGCUGAGUAUACACUUAAAUUUGUAUUAGUAACAGAUCCACAAAAAUGAACCACUCUAGGAAUUUUAAGUUUUAAAAGCCAAUGUGUGGUAACUUCCAGUUUCCAAUAAAAAUGUUUGCAUUACACUUAGCCUACACAUACUAUCUCUUAGGUAUCAGUUUUUGUAUUCAGCAACCCUAGUUGGUAAUCUACAGUGUCAAAACUAUCACUUAUAUGAAAACAAAUGAGCAAAUAGCCCUUUAAAAAUUUCCUUUCCCAGUGCUCGUUACGCACUUUGUACAAAUGUCUGUAACUGUUUUAUAAUUAUUUCUUUGCAAGGCUUGGUUUCUUCAGUAGAGAAGAUUCUUAGAAGUAUCCCCAGUGACAGUACAGCUCCUGGCAUUUAGUAGGUGCUCAGUAAUUAUUUUACUGAAAUACUCAUGCUUCCAUAAUAGUUCUGGGAUAAUUCUAAACACAAGCCAUUUUUCUAAGGAGAGUCCACAUUAGAGAGGUCUUUGUUUUGUAUUCAAGAUGAUUAAAAUUAUGAACUGGGAAGUUAGUCCCUGGGGUGUCCUGGCUGGCCUUUGGAAAUCUUCACUACAUCUUUCUGGGUUGGAAUUCUCACCACAGCCUGAACGUGGGGCUGUAUCUGAGCUGUCUCUGAGUGCUGUCCAUUUGAUAUAUCGAGUACUGGGUGUUUACCAGGGCUCUUCAAGCCACUGGGAGAAACAGCUAAAGAGUAACCUACUGAUUUGAGAUGUGGAUUUGUGCCCCAUCCCUUUCUCCUUGUUUCCCACAGGAGUUUUAUCUCAAACUCCUAAGCCAUUUUUAAGGAGAUCACUGGAACAAACUCCAAACCUACCCUCUAAUAGUCAAGUUUACCUGAAUUUUCUCAGUUCUCUCGGGAGAAGACUAAUCACACAUUGUAGUACCAACUUGGACUCUUCAUGUGCUUUUCUUAACUGAUUAGAGUUAACACCUCAGCUAAAGUGUAUAGAACAUACAUGGGGCUUCAUCAGGCUUCAGAAUCAGUUUCACUAGAUGUGCUAUGUAGGAGGCCACGGAAAAAUUACUGUAGUAGUAAAAGUUAUCAGUUCUGAUGUAAACAAUCAUUUUGUCCCAUAUUAUAAAUAAAUUGGCCUGAAAAUAUCUUUUCAUAUGUGAGGAAUAAGUAUAUGAUGCCUUUCUCCUUUAAAGUAUGAACUGCUAAAAGACAGGGAUAACGUGUAUUCUGUAUUCCAGCAGCCACAGUGUGUUUCUGGUCUUUGUACCAGGUGCUCAGGAAGUGUUUUCACUGGCUUGGGUUGACUACUUGCCAUCUGCUCUCUGAGCAUUCAUUUCUGAAUGAAAGGGGAGAAAGUGAAAGGAGAGGUGGGAAGAAAGAGGAAGCUGCAGAAAUACGAGGAAACAGCUGGAGGAGGGAGGUGAAGUUGAGGAGGUAAGGUCAGUAAAACAAAAAGCUAGCAGAGGGCAGGGUCAGGCCCUUGGGGUAGAGGGCUAAUUAACUUCUGUCAGCUAGUUGAAUAGAGCCUUGUGUGCUUUGUUAGAGACCAAAGGUACUUCAAAGGAAAAAAAUCUAGAUUCUUCCCUGUGUACCUUAAUAAUUGUUCAUCAGGUCAAAAUCUAUCCUGUCCUCUAGGAAUUCUGGUCUUCCCUCAGGCCUAGCAGAGAGCUUUCUGCCACUACUCAGGCAACCAAGGGUGAAGUGCUUCAAGUAGUAUUUGUGGACAGCAGCAGGUGACCAUUGUGAGGUAGAUAUUUUGUUCUAAUUUUCCAGAUGAGGAAGCUGAGACCCUAAAAGGUUAGGUGACAGGUUAUACAACUUGGAGUGUGGGAGGAGGAGAGAGGAACCUGAACAGGGCAAGUUGGGGAUCUGACUUUUGUUUGGGUAGAUGUAGGCACAUUGUAUUUUUGGCUUAGAUGCUUUAUUCAUCAUGGCUGAAGGUAAUACCAUUUACUCACUCACCGAAAAUUGUUUACAAUAAUCUAGAUGAAUUUGCUGUCUUUGGACAUCUGUCUUUUGACUGGACCCCAGUAUAUAGUCUGUGGAAGCUCACUUAAGGAGAGAGCUCCUUUUUGUUUGGUUAGAGAAAUUUUCUGUCCUAAAAGUAGAAAUAGCCCCUUCUAGGUAAGGAUGGAGCAUUUGAUCAUACUGGUUUCAUUAUAUUCCUCUAACAGUUGGAACCGAUUGUUUUUGAGUACUUGUUUCAAACUUCUGAGUAUUUUCCUUCUGGAAAAUAGCUCAGUGUUUAAAAUUUACAUGAACUUAAAAGGUUAAUUUUUUUUUAAAGAAUGUUUGAGGAGCAAUCAAUUCUGAUUUUGUCUUAUGGAUAGAAAUAGAAUUAGCCAUUUUCCUCAAGAAAAGUGAUUCUUCUGAAUCUUAGCUUUUCAGUAAUGAGAACUGGACUGUUUCCACUUGACCUCUAUUUCCUGUUAGUGGGAAACCGCUUCCCAGAGGUGCUGUGUGAAAGAUUGCUGGGGAAAGGGUUUCUAGAUCCCAGCAUAACAAGUUCAAGAGUCCAGCGAUAUUGUCAUUAGAAUAAUGGUCUUCAUUAAGUACUAGUUUUCAUAAUCCUGAAGCUUCAUUUUCACCAAUUUGAAAGGCAGCUAGGGAGGAGAAGACUAUGCAGGGAAGGAGGAAAACUCUGGAGUGCAUCACAGAGACCUUGAGUGAGUUAAGGCAGGGAAGAAGCAGAUUUGCUAUCCACUGAAUGAAAAUAAGAAGAAUUCCAUUGUCCAAGGUCAGAGCAAGAACACAAAGGUUUUAGUUUACUUAGUUAAUUCCUUAGGUUUGGACAUUACAGGAGACAUGGGGGUGACCAUAGCAAUUUAGCUGAUAAAUGUAUCAGAAACUCUUUCAUCAUUUUCUGUCCCCUCCUAUCUUAGGCUGACCGGUUCCCUGAUGUGUUACCUGCUUCUGCUACUGAUCCAAACUGCAGAACUUCUCAUUCAUCCCCAAGGCCUCCAGGCAGUAUCCAAUGGGGAAUCAGCUCUAAAAGGAACCAGACCAACGUUUUCCAGCCCCUUCAUUCUGGUGACUGAGGGGAGGAAAGAAUGGGAGGGGGUAUUCUUGUCUAGUGGAUGGAAAGGAAACACACUGUCAAAUUACUAUAUCUCCUUGGUUUUCUAUUACAGUAGAAUUCUCCAGCCAUAUUUUUAUUGUCUAUGGGGGAAGUUGGAGAUGGUGACCUUGAUUAGAAGUGUCUGGAGGGGGAUAAAUGGAGGGGAUAAGAUUCAGUUGGUUUUGGAAAAUGUUAAAGUCUUAAAAUAAUGCGUCCAUCUGAAGAAUUUUUUCUAAAACCAGAGUUUAUAAAAAUAUCACUGAUACAGCCUGCCCCCUCAUUUCCCUGCCACAGGAGAUGUCUUGGACUAGAGACACUUGUUUAAUAAUAGCUUGUCUCUGAUAUUCCCAGUAGCUUCCCUCUGUGUGAGGAAAGGAUAGAAAUGUUCAGGACAUCAUCAUACAGGCUCCUCAUCUACAAAGUUCCAGUAGCAGUGACGCCUACACGGAAGACUUGGAACUGCAAACAGGCUGGGGUCACCUCAGUGACAUCUGACGCUGUCCAACCAGAAGUUCGAUUUUUGUUCUGGGGGUGAAGGAGGAAACAGACUGUACUAAAGGACUAAAAUAAUUUGUCUAUACUAUCUCACUUGUUUUUAUUUUUGGCGGGAGAGGAGGGGUGUUGGGAUAGAAUUUCACAUCCUAUCUUGGAGUGAAGGGGAGGAUGGGGAGGCUCAGCCCUUCACCCAAGAAUAACCCAGUAAUGACAUCUCUACGCGUGGGAAGUGUUUCCCUCCACACUGAGAGGAUCUGAGGCUGCACCCCAGUGGGAUUCCCUGCUUGAGUUGGAAGGCCAUCUCGCCAUGAGAUGCAUAUCAUAGCGAGAGCGCAGAGGGCUUAGCCGGCCGGGGAGGAAAUGCCAAAAGGAAGAGAGGCUCGAAGUCGAAAGGGCUUCCCCCAGUUUGGAGGUGGGGACCAUGCUGUGCAUGAGCGACUGAAGAGCCGAGUGUCCGCCGUGGCCUGUGCCCUCCGCUGAGGGUCUAACAGGGACGCGACGGUGCUGGACACCGUGUCUGAG